UAGGGAAUCUUCGGCAAUGGACGAAAGUCUGACCGAGCAACGCCGCGUGAGUGAAGAAGGUUUUCGGAUCGUAAAACUCUGUUGUUAGAGAAGAACAAGGACGUUAGUAACUGAACGUCCCCUGACGGUAUCUAACCAGAAAGCCACGGCUAACUACGUGCCAGCAGCCGCGGUAAUACGUAGGUGGCAAGCGUUGUCCGGAUUUAUUGGGCGUAAAGCGAGCGCAGGCGGUUUCUUAAGUCUGAUGUGAAAGCCCCCGGCUCAACCGGGGAGGGUCAUUGGAAACUGGGAGACUUGAGUGCAGAAGAGGAGAGUGUAAUUCCAUGUGUAGCGGUGAAAUGCGUAGAUAUAUGGAGGAACACCAGUGGCGAAGACGGCUCUCUGGUCUGUAACUGACGCUGAGGCUCGAAAGCGUGGGGAGCAAACAGG
rnacentral:rRNA from 1 species